ACGGAUAUAGUCAAAUGGUAAAAUUUAUCUUUCCCAAUAAGAAGACGCGAGUUCGAUUCCCGUUAUCUGCC
rnacentral:tRNA from 1 species